rnacentral:rRNA from 1 species
AAACUAACUAGGAUUCCCUUAGUAACGGCGAGUGAACCGGGAUGAGCUCAAAUUUGAAAUCUGGCGUCUUUCAGGCGUCCGAGUUGUAAUCUAUAGAGGCGUUUUCCGCGCCGGACCGCGUCCAAGUCUCUUGGAAUAGAGUAUCAAAGAGGGUGACAAUCCCGUACUUGACGCGACAACCGGUGCUCUGUGAUACGUUCUCAACGAGUCGAGUUGUUUGGGAAUGCAGCUCUAAAUGGGUGGUAAAUUCCAUCUAAGGCUAAAUAUUGGCGAGAGACCGAUAGCGAACAAGUACCGUGAGGGAAAGAUGAAAAGCACUUUGGAAAGAGAGUUAAACAGCACGUGAAAUUGUUAAAAGGGAAACGAUUGAAGUCAGUCGUGUGAAAGGUAUUCAGCCGUCUCUGGCGGUGUAUUUGCCUUUCACGGGUCAACAUCAGUUUAGUCCGGUAGAAAAAGGCUGGAGGAAGGUGGCACCCUCGGGUGUGUUAUAGCCUCCUGUCACAUGUGCCGGAUUAGACUGAGGAACGCAGCUUGCCGCAAGGCCGGGGUUCGCCCACGUACAAGCUUAGGAUGUUGACAUAAUGGCUUUAAACGAC